AGAGUUUGAUCCUGGCUCAGAUUGAACGCUGGCGGAAUGCUUUACACAUGCAAGUCGAACGGCAGCACGGGGGCAACCCUGGUGGCGAGUGGCGAACGGGUGAGUAAUAUAUCGGAACGUGCCCAGUCGUGGGGGUAACGUAGCGAAAGUUACGCUAAUACCGCAUACGAUCUACGGAUGAAAGCGGGGGAUCGCAAGACCUCGCGCGAUUGGAGCGGCCGAUAUCAGAUUAGGUAGUUGGUGGGGUAAAGGCUCACCAAGCCAACGAUCUGUAGCUGGUCUGAGAGGACGACCAGCCACACUGGGACUGAGACACGGCCCAGACUCCUACGGGAGGCAGCAGUGGGGAAUUUUGGACAAUGGGCGAAAGCCUGAUCCAGCCAUUCCGCGUGCAGGACGAAGGCCUUCGGGUUGUAAACUGCUUUUGUACGGAACGAAAAAGCCUUGGCUAAUACCCAGGGUCCAUGACGGUACCGUAAGAAUAAGCACCGGCUAACUACGUGCCAGCAGCCGCGGUAAUACGUAGGGUGCGAGCGUUAAUCGGAAUUACUGGGCGUAAAGCGUGCGCAGGCGGUUAUAUAAGACAGAUGUGAAAUCCCCGGGCUCAACCUGGGAACUGCAUUUGUGACUGUAUAGCUAGAGUGCGGCAGAGGGGGAUGGAAUUCCGCGUGUAGCAGUGAAAUGCGUAGAUAUGCGGAGGAACACCGAUGGCGAAGGCAAUCCCCUGGGCCUGCACUGACGCUCAUGCACGAAAGCGUG
rnacentral:rRNA from 1 species